AUGAAAGGAAAAAAAACAUUUCUUAUCCCUGACAGUUCUCCAAGAAGGCCUCCUUCAGGCACUGUCAUUCCGUCCACACUCCUCCGGCAGGAGCUAUCUCCCUGGCUUCCCUGUUUGGAUUCUUCAGGAUCUCGGCUUGAGCUCCGGCUGCCCUCCCUGGAUCAGAGACAAGCCCAGGAUGAAGACUGGGCAGUAGCCUGGAAGGAACCGGGCUUCGGUAACCACAGGGGCCUCAGGCGGCCCGGGAAGCGCGGAGAUCCCAGCGUGCGGGCAGGAAGCCCAAGCGCUGUGGCCGCUCCAUGGAGCCCUGGCGCAGGCAAGGACACAGCGUGGCUGGCUGCGUAUGUGAACAAGGUGCCUGGAGGGGCCGCGGUCGUCGCGGAGCCUGAGCACACCAAGGAGCGCAUCAGACUUCAAGGGUCGAAGUGCAAGGGGGCAGCUUUUGAUUUCAGGGUCAACCAACUAGGACUCGAUGGGUGGAAAAGAAGUGCCUAAACAGCAAGCUGCUUACUGCAAUCUCGGUCAGAAUUUGUGGGGGCCCCACAGAUGUGGGUGCCUGGCGGGGUCCUGGCGCAGACAGCGGUCUCGGGUUUGUGUGCUGCACACAGUAUCCUCAUCACCACACAAUGGAAGCUGCGGAGCUGGGGUCAAAAUGAGAAGGGGCAGCUGGGACCUGGCGACACGAAGAGAAUGGAAGCCCCCAGAAUCAUUGCGGGUCUCUGCCUGGAAGUGAGUGUGUAGGCAGCGUGUGGGCGGAACCUCACCUGGGCCUUGACGGAAACGGGCUCUGUGUUUGCGUUUGGGGAGAACAAGAUGGGGCAGCUCAGUCUCAGCAACCACGCAGGAGCAUCCCCAGCACCGCACAGAUCAUGUGCGGGCAGCCAAUUACCAGAAUGGCCAGUGGAAAUGAAUUUUGUAUAACGGGCGGCAAAGGAGACCUCUGUUCCUUCGUGUGCCCUCGAUGUGGUCAGCUGGGACCCAGGCACAGUGAAUAGUGUAAGGCUGCGAGCUGGUGCCGGUGCCACGAUGAGUGGCCCACCUUCACUGAGAAUGAAAGAUGGGCAGAUUCUGCCUGUACCAAAGGUGGUUGUGAGACCCCCAGAGCAGGACGUGGCCUGUGAUGCUAACCACACAUUAAUUUUGGACUCCAAGAAAUAAGUCUUCUCCUGGGGCUUUGGUGGCUAUGGUUGGCUGGGCCACUCGGAGCAGAAGGAUGAGAUGGUCCCUGCUUGGUGAAGUUGGAGUCUGACUUCCUUGGGUGUGGGGCAUCCCAGAUCCAUGUUGGUUACACCUGCUCCUUUGCUGUCUGUGAAGUUGGUAGUCUCUUUUUCUGGGGAGCCCAAUAUCUCCCAUGAAUCUUCCACGUACCUGAAAGCAGUGCAGGACCUCUGCAGCUGCAGAAUCCGGAGCCUGGCUUGUGGGAAGAGGAGCAUCAUUGUGGCCGCCAAUGAGAGCACCAUCAGCUGGGGGCCAUAACCAACCUUUAGGUAAUUGGGAUUCAGGGACCAUGAGCCCAAGUCUUCCACUGCAGCCCAAGAGGUGAAGACUCUGGAUGGCAUCUUUUCAAAGCAGGUCUCCAUAGGCUACUCACACUCCUUGAUGAUAGCACGAGAUGAAAGUGAGACCAGGAAAGAGAAGAUCAAGAAACUGCUAGAGCCGGUUGAGGUGGCUGCUUUCUGCCAGCAAGGGCAGAAGUUCAGUGUGACAGCCUUUUGCAUCCUCACCUGUGGUACUGAAGCCCUUGUUCAGUGUCCAGGAAAAAUCAAGUCGCAAGAACAAAUUGAAGGGCGAAACUUCCAGAAUAACCUGUUAGUCAAGCAAAGACAAGUGUAUUUGACUUACGGCGGCAACGGAGAGCAGCAUCUUAGCAAAGCCUCCACGGUGUCUUGGCAGAGGAAAGUUUUGGGGUCUGGUGAUGAAGGGCAGGUCCUUCAAGGCAGGGACUGGUCACAGUGCCAGCAGCUGCCUAGAUACUUCUGUUCAGCCAAUUCUAUCACAACCUUUACAAGAGAAUUUAAAGUCUUUAAAGUCUGUUGUGUAACUAUAGCCUUUACAGUAGAAUCUGUUGUAGAGCCUACCAUGAGGGAUAAAUUUCUAAUCAUUGCUUUUACUCCAAACCAUGGAAAAAGGACCUAA